AGACCACCCAGAUGUUCCUGACCCUGAGCUAUUGUGCACUUACAUUCAUGAGAUGAGCACCUAACCUCCGUUCAGUGGCCACCUCCCUAGAGAAGCCCACUCUCACCAUGCAAACUAAGGUGUUUUGCCUAUAUAUCUGUCUGUGACCAUGGACAUACAGUGCUGGAAGAGGCCAGAAGAGAUCAUUAGAUCUCCUGGAACUGGAGUUGCAGAUGGUUGUGAGCUGCUGUUUUUAGAAGGUUAGUCCGUGAUCAUCAUGGCUGGAAGCAGACAGGCACUGAUGAAGUAGCUGAGAACUUUACAUCCUGAUCCACAAGGAGAGGCAGCAGGAGAAAGAGACUGGGCCUAGUGUGAGCUUCUGAAACCUCA